UAGGGAAUCUUCGGCAAUGGACGAAAGUCUGACCGAGCAACGCCGCGUGAGUGAAGAAGGUUUUCGGAUCGUAAAACUCUGUUGUUAGAGAAGAACAAGGACGUUAGUAACUGAACGUCCCCUGACGGUAUCUAACCAGAAAGCCACGGCUAACUACGUGCCAGCAGCCGCGGUAAUACGUAGGUGGCAAGCGUUGUCCGGAUUUAUUGGGCGUAAAGCGAGCGCAGGCGGUUUCUUAAGUCUGAUGUGAAAGCCCCCGGCUCAACCGGGGAGGGUCAUUGGAAACUGGGAGACUUGAGUGCAGAAGAGGAGGGUGGAAUUCCAUGUGUAGCGGGGAAAUGCGUAGAUAUAUGGAGGAACACCAGUGGCGAAGGCGGCUCUCUGGUCUGUAACUGACGCUGAGGCUCGAAAGCGUGGGGAGCAAACAGG
rnacentral:rRNA from 1 species